rnacentral:rRNA from 1 species
CCUUAGUGGCCUGAAAGGGUUUCAUCAGCGACUCUAAACAAGUAGGUGGAUUAAACGCUAGUCUCUUUCAAAGAGGCGACACUAUCAAAUUGCGGGAAGAUCCUGUCAGGUCCACAUCACCGCGGCUCACCGAAAGGUGUAGUGCAGCACCAGGCUAACAACCUUGGGUAUGGUAAUAGUAUGUGGAAUAGGGAGAAUCUGCAGCCAAGCCCCUCUCCUGGGGUGCAGUUCACAGGCCAAAUGGUAGUGGGCACUCUGGUGCUUAAGAUAUGGUCGAGUCCCAAUUGAAAAAUUGGGUACAAGUACUCUGAUUGAUUACAUACAGUCUAUGCUCAGUCAAAUACAGCUAGUUGUAAAUGCAAAUGUUCCGUAGGUGAACCUGC